rnacentral:rRNA from 1 species
CACUCCUGCGGGAGGCAGCAGUGGGGAAUAUUGGACAAUGGGCGCAAGCCUGAUCCAGCCAUGCCGCGUGAGUGAUGAAGGCCCUAGGGUUGUAAAGCUCUUUCACCGGUGAAGAUAAUGACGGUAACCGGAGAAGAAGCCACGGCUAACUUCGUGCCAGCAGCCGCGGUAAUACGAAGGGGGCUAGCGUUGUUCGGAUUUACUGGGCGUAAAGCGCACGUAGGCGGACUAUUAAGUCAGGGGUGAAAUCCCGGGGCUCAACCCCGGAACUGCCUUUGAUACUGGUAGUCUUGAGUUCGAGAGAGGUGAGUGGAAUUCCGAGUGUAGAGGUGAAAUUCGUAGAUAUUCGGAGGAACACCAGUGGCGAAGGCGGCUCACUGGCUCGAUACUGACGCUGAGGUGCGAAAGCGUGGGGAGCAAACAGGAUUAGAUACCCUAGUAGUCCC